UGAACGCUGGCGGCGUGCCUAACACAUGCAAGUCGAACGAAGCAAUUAAGAUGAAGUUUUCGGAUGGAAUCUUGAUUGACUGAGUGGCGGACGGGUGAGUAACGCGUGGAUAACCUGCCUCACACUGGGGGAUAACAGUUAGAAAUGACUGCUAAUACCGCAUAAGCGCACAGUGCCGCAUGGCAGUGUGUGAAAAACUCCGGUGGUGUGAGAUGGAUCCGCGUCUGAUUAGCCAGUUGGCGGGGUAACGGCCCACCAAAGCGACGAUCAGUAGCCGACCUGAGAGGGUGACCGGCCACAUUGGGACUGAGACACGGCCCAAACUCCUACGGGAGGCAGCAGUGGGGAAUAUUGCACAAUGGGCGAAAGCCUGAUGCAGCGACGCCGCGUGAGUGAAGAAGUAUUUCGGUAUGUAAAGCUCUAUCAGCAGGGAAGAAAAUGACGGUACCUGACUAAGAAGCCCCGGCUAACUACGUGCCAGCAGCCGUGGUAAUACGUAGGGGGCAAGCGUUAUCCGGAUUUACUGGGUGUAAAGGGAGCGUAGACGGCGAAGCAAGUCUGAAGUGAAAACCCAGGGCUCAACCCUGGGACUGCUUUGGAAACUGUUUUGCUAGAGUGUCGGAGAGGUAAGUGGAAUUCCUAGUGUAGCGGUGAAAUGCGUAGAUAUUAGGAGGAACACCAGUGGCGAAGGCGGCUUACUGGACGAUAACUGACGUUGAGGCUCGAAAGCGUGGGGAGCAAACAGGAUUAGAUACCCUGGUAGUCCACGCCGUAAACGAUGAAUGCUAGGUGUGGGGGGGCAAAGCCCUUCGGUGCCGCCGCAAACGCAGUAAGCAUUCCACCUGGGGAGUACGUUCGCAAGAAUGAAACUCAAAGGAAUUGACGGGGACCCGCACAAGCGGUGGAGCAUGCGGUUUAAUUCGAAGCAACGCGAAGAACCUUACCAAGUCUUGACAUCCCCCUGACGGGCCGGUAACGCGGCCUUUCCUUCGGGACAGGGGAGACAGGUGGUGCAUGGUUGUCGUCAGCUCGUGUCGUGAGAUGUUGGGUUAAGUCCCGCAACGAGCGCAACCCUUAUCCUUAGUAGCCAGCACGUGAAGGUGGGCACUCUAGGGAGACUGCCAGGGAUAACCUGGAGGAAGGUGGGGAUGACGUCAAAUCAUCAUGCCCCUUAUGAUUUGGGCUACACACGUGCUACAAUGGCGUAAACAAAGGGAAGCGAGACAGUGAUGUGGAGCAAAUCCCAAAAAUAACGUCUCAGUUCGGAUUGUAGUCUGCAACUCGACUACAUGAAGCUGGAAUCGCUAGUAAUCGCGAAUCAGAAUGUCGCGGUGAAUACGUUCCCGGGUCUUGUACACACCGCCCGUCACACCAUGGGAGUCAGUAACGCCCGAAGUCAGUGACCCAACCGAAAGGAGGGAGCUGCCGAAGGUGGGACCGAUAACUGGGGU
rnacentral:rRNA from 1 species